rnacentral:lncRNA from 1 species
CAGCUCUUCGCUUGUCUUUCUCGUUCCUUGUGGUGUUUAAGAGGGUUGUUGCUCUUUUUGUAGCAACUUUCUUGCGGGUUUUGCGUGCUGGUUCCUUGACGACUUUUGAAUGAUUCAAAUUGCAGGGUACUUGAAUGUAGUUGUUUUCCUGCGGUUCUCGGUGGUCUGCGGUUCCUUGGUGUGUAUUAAUAGAUGGUUUGGCCCUGCGAUGUAUUCGUUGCGGAGGGCUGUUGCUGUAUCCAUGGUCGCGUCCGAUGGUGAAAAUAUAAUUUAUCUCUUGUCGCAGAUCCUCGUUAUUAGUUGUAUAAUCGUACGCCCUUCUAAAAUAAUAUCGAAAUGCGGAAUCUUUGUACGAAAUUGGGUUUGUAGACCACCUAGGUAUUAGGACAGGCUGGAAAU